AUUGAACGCUGGCGGCAGGCCUAACACAUGCAAGUCGGACGGUAGCACAGAGAGCUUGCUCUUGGGUGACGAGUGGCGGACGGGUGAGUAAUGUCUGGGGAUCUGCCCGAUAGAGGGGGAUAACCACUGGAAACGGUGGCUAAUACCGCAUAACGUCGCAAGACCAAAGAGGGGGACCUUCGGGCCUCUCACUAUCGGAUGAACCCGGAUGGGAUUAGCUAGUAGGCGGGGUUAUGGCCCACCUAGGCGACGAUCCCUAGCUGGUCUGAGAGGAUGACCAGCCACACUGGAACUGAGACACGGUCUAGACUCCUACGGGAGGCAGCAGUGGGGAAUAUUGCACAAUGGGCGCAAGCCUGAUGCAGCCAUGCCGCGUGUAUGAAGAAGGCCUUCGGGUUGUAAAGUACUUUCAGCGGGGAGGAAGGCGGCAAGGUUAAUAACCUUGCCGAUUGACGUUACCCGCAGAAGAAGCACCGGCUAACUCCGUGCCAGCAGCCGCCGUAA
rnacentral:rRNA from 1 species